GGGCCGGUAGAUCAGCUCGGUUGUUCCGUUCAUUCGUGAUGGAAGAGGUCGCGUGUUCGAAUCACGCCCGGUCCACCA
rnacentral:tRNA from 1 species